rnacentral:lncRNA from 1 species
GGCGAGACACAAGCUGCCCCCAGCGAAGACGCAGUUGUCCAGGAAACCAUCGAGGUUUGUGAAGACGCAGUUGUCCAGGAGACCAUCGAGGUUUGUGCUUAUCUUAAUGACCAGCAGAAAAGCUUACCUGCAGAGUACUACACUGUUAAUAUUAAUCACUGGGCUGUGUGUCUUAACCCUUUAAUAGUCACGCCAAGGGGGAAAUAUAUAUAUUAAUACAUCACACUUUAAACCAUUGGCGCAGGUGGGUUACAAGUUAUUAUUAUUAUUAUUAUUUUUGGGCUUUUAUGCCUUUAAUUGAUAAUUCAGUGAAGAGUGGGACAGGAAAUGAGAGGGAGAAGAGGUGGGCAGGAGAAAAGACAUCGGGCUGGAUUCGAACCCGUGUCUUCCAUGGGCGUAAAGCCCAAAUGUGGUCGGGACUACUGCUUGCGCCACAGUGCGCCACAGUGCUCCCCCCAGGUUACAAGUUAUUUACUCGGAAUUCAACAAAACAAGGCGUACUAAACCAAAUGGUUGAGCAGACCAUUAAAGAGUUUGAUUGAGUAUUGCAAUGCUUUUGUACAUUUCCUUUUGCAGUCAUUGCAUGCAUUCAACUGCCAUACCAUGCAUCAGCUUUGACUGAUUGCAAGUUGUUUCUCUGAAAUCCAGUAGUUCAAUAGUCAUUUGAAUGAAAUACGCAAAGUGUAUGAAGCAUAUGGUUUGGGACGCUUUAUACAAAUUACACUAAGUAAUGGUUAUGAGGGUAAAAGAAGAAUAUUAACAGAAUGAUGUGUAUGUGGGUAAAACAAACUGGUGUUUUUUUUUUGGCAUGUUGAGUAAAUGUAUUGGCAUUUGUAAAAUGUGGUCACAGACAUCAGAAGUGGACGGUGUGGCAUGGGCGCCCGCUGUCGAAGCACCAGAAGAGAUCGUACCUGAACCCAGUGUUGAAGAAGAACAAAAGUCCGUAUCGGAGCCCGUUGACGUGUUAGCUGAGCCUGCACCUGAGCCUGCAGAUGAAGCCCAAACCCUUUCAGAAAAUGCAGUCGAACCAGUUUCGGCUGACGCCGAGGUGGUGGAACCCGAGGCUGUGGCCAUGCCUGAGCAAGAGUCGCCUGAAGACGCAGAUGAAGCUGUGAUUGCACAACCUGAGGUCGAAGAAGCCAUGGUGAAGACUGUGAGUGAAGAACCAGAGGUGGUGGAGGUGGUGGAGGUGGUGGUGGCCCCCGCAGAGACCGUGGAAGCUGAGCAGGUUCCUGAGGUGACUCCUGCUGCUCCAGAGCCAGAGCCAGAGGUGUGCCCAGAUGUUCCAGCCCAGAUUGAGGAGGCUGUUGCGGCUGAGGCUGCCCCUGUUGCCCCUGUCGUCGAGCCUGAGGUUGCCGCGGCUGAACCCGUGACCCCUGACACCAUGGCUGAGGACUUUGUUGUGACCGAAUCUGCGGUUGCUGUGGAGGCGGCCAUGUCUGUACCUGCUGAGGAGCCUGUAAGUUCAGAUUUCACGAGUAUGUCGCAUACGUGCGUAUAUAUGUGUAGAUACUCUGAAUGGCGUUUCUGAGUCCUGUUUCUCCGCCCUCUCUAGGCUCCAGUUGCCAUCAUUGCUGAGACCCUGGUCCUGCCAGAGGUGGAGGUGGAGGUGGAGCCCAUCGCUGAACCCACCCCUCUGUCAACCAACGAAGUCAUCAAGGUGAAUUACUCGUUUGACACACUAAAAAGUUCAAAAUGAAUUUACCAUAAGCACAGAUUUGGUCUGAUUUCAUUUAUUCAUGGCCCCCCGUCUUUUCAAUUGAUCUCCAAUCAUUUGUCUCGCUAUUUGAAUCUUCCUCUUUUGUGUGUUAAACCCGUCUCAAAUUCCACAUCAUUUAAUUUCAGGUUAAAGAGGAAAUUGUGACUGAAGUGGAGAUUGAAACAAAAAUGGUAAUUUAUUUUAUAUUUUGUCGACAUUUAUAAAAAAAAAUUAAAAAUAAAGUUUCCUCAGACUUUCA